rnacentral:rRNA from 1 species
AGCGUUCAUCCUGGCUCAGGAUGAACGCUGGCGGCGUGCCUAAUACAUGCAAGUCGAGCGCGAAGAUCAGGAGCUUGCUCCUGAGAUUCGAGCGGCGGACGGGUGAGUAACACGUAGGCAACCUACCCUUGAGAUUGGGAUAACUACCGGAAACGGUAGCUAAUACCGGAUACGACAUUCCUGCAUAAGUAAGAAUGUUAAAAGGCGGAUUUAUCUGCCGCUCAUGGAUGGGCCUGCGGUGCAUUAGCUAGUUGGUGAGAUAGUAGCUCACCAAGGCGACGAUGCAUAGCCGACCUGAGAGGGUGAUCGGCCACACUGGGACUGAGACACGGCCCAGACUCCUACGGGAGGCAGCAGUAGGGAAUCUUCGGCAAUGGACGAAAGUCUGACCGAGCAACGCCGCGUGAGUGAAGAAGGUUUUCGGAUCGUAAAGCUCUGUUGUAAGAGAAGAACGGGUGUGAGAGUGGAAAGUUCACACUGUGACGGUAUCUUACCAGAAAGGGACGGCUAACUACGUGCCAGCAGCCGCGGUAAUACGUAGGUCCCGAGCGUUGUCCGGAUUUAUUGGGCGUAAAGCGAGCGCAGGCGGUUAGAUAAGUCUGAAGUUAAAGGCUGUGGCUUAACCAUAGUACGCUUUGGAAACUGUUUAACUUGAGUGCAGAAGGGGAGAGUGGAAUUCCAUGUGUAGCGGUGAAAUGCGUAGAUAUAUGGAGGAACACCGGUGGCGAAAGCGGCUCUCUGGUCUGUAACUGACGCUGAGGCUCGAAAGCGUGGGGAGCGAACAGGAUUAGAUACCCUGGUAGUCCACGCCGUAAACGAUGAGUGCUAGGUGUUAGGCCCUUUCCGGGGCUUAGUGCCGCAGCUAACGCAUUAAGCACUCCGCCUGGGGAGUGCUUAAUGCGUUAGCUGAGGCUCGAAAGCAU